UUAAAAAUUACUUAAAAAAGGAAAAACUGUAUUUUCCGUGAGCAAAGUACUACGUCAGCUAGACGAUAAUUUCAAUUAGUCGUCGCAGUUAUGUUUAAGAAAUUCGUGUUUUCAACGCACAUCCUGUAUUUAUGUACACCAGUUGAACAAAUGAAGGCAUCAAAAGGGAGUUUCAAAGCAUGGGUUGAGAAGAAUGUCCCUAAGCUUCAACCAGACUACAACCCCAAUCAUGGCUAUGAGCCGUAUUGGCCUGGAGGUCACUGGCUUUAUUUGGACAAAGAACUUGGCCCUUGGUGAGACCACAACCAAAACCCCCUUCUUUGCGGAGAAGAAUGCAACUAUUUAUAUACACGGGUUGGCAAGGUAUGUGCUAGAACGGUGGAUAACAAAGAGUACUAGCAAUGUGUGUCGAUAUUCGGUCUUUGUCUUGGUUGGUGGAACGAUCAAUUCUGUCGAGGAUUCUAUACCUUUGAUACCUACUACAAAUUUUUAGAUGCACAAUGCAGGACUGAAUACAGCAAACGUUCGUAUUUCACUUAGAUAACCUUUUGUUAAUCUCUCUGAUUUAGCAAAUUGUAGCCUUUUCAACCAAACUAGUGGCGAGAAAUCAAUCAACAAUCUUACUAAUGGUAGUCAUAGUAUUAUCUCAGAUGAAUUAACGAAUGACACUUUGUAAAAAUGACUAAAUUAGAGUUUCCUGGCUUAUUCAACAGUUAAAGUUCAGCUUUCAGUGAGAUAAUAUAGAAACUUGCGCAUCGUAUGAAUAUGUAUUGUAUAAUAUUAUAAUUUUAAUCAGUGGUUAUUACAUAAAUGUUAUAUUUUGCUCGUAUUUUUACAACUUUAAGGAUGGAUUUUAGUACAUGAAGGGGAAUGUUCUCACGACAUCGAUACCUACUUUAAGCCUCUACAUACCUCACCAGGACCGCUGUAUAGGUUGAGUUCGUAUUUUACAAAAUUAGUUAGCAACUAUCGGAGUGCCGGCUUAGAGAAUCCACUUCGACAGGGUGUAUCUUUACCCAACCAAGCGAUCUCCGGGGACGUGAAUUUACCACUUAUGCUGGAUGUUGGUAUACAGCCGAAUCCUGGAAUUUUCCCAUCUAACAAUCGCGGUACUCUUAGGCCCCCCCUCCCUCAUAAGGUCAAGCAAUAUAUUCACAAUUUUGUAAAAGAUAUGUUUUUAGGUAAUAGCAGUGAAAGUAUAAA